GAUUUUGAAAGUAAUUGCAUCACUUUAAGCACAGUUUAUGAGCCCUGUUGUAGUUCAUUAUAAAACCAAUUUAUUACUUGCAGUGAUAUUAGUAUUCCUAAUAGAAUUAAAAGUGGAAAACAUGAUUAAAAGCAAUCCUUCAGACUCUGAUCAAGGGAACUUUCAAGUUUAAAAUGUAAAUAUCAGAUUAGAACACUGAUUUUUGAACAAGAUUACAAAGUCAAACCUGGUUUUUUUUUGUUCCCUAAAAGAAGAAAUGCCAUUAGAUAUGAUUGUUACAUGCUCAGUGAUUCAUGGGCCUGCUUAUGUACUUUGUGAGAUAUGAAUUAUUUAGCAAGAAAAAUCACAAUAAUUUUGCUGUUACUCAAGAAUUUAUAGGUUGACAGAAAAACAAUUAUGCAGCCCCUGGAGCUGGUCUGAAGGGGCGCAGGAGCAUCAUUAACCACACACAGCCCAAGUGCAGGAGUUACCUCGUCCCUGUGCAUCACACAAUCUGCUUCUUCGCAGAAGUUAUUCAGAAUUUAAAGCAAAAACUAAAUAUUUACUAAUUUUGCCUAAAUCCAGUUCGCUGUUGUUAUGUUUUCUUUCAGUCUGAGUUGGGUUUAUUGUGAAAAAAGAGCUUUAAAAUAUCUGUUUGUGGGUUUCCCUGUGAACUGAAAAGGUGAAUUUAUUUCCUGAUAUUUGGGUCCCAAACAAUCCUUUCUUAUUCCAGAGAAAGUGCAGGGUGGCAGUGGAAGUUGGGUGGAAGUUUUAAUGCCAUUUUUAAGGAAUCUGAAUUUAUCCCUGGUGCACUUUUGGUGAGUCUUUCCAGGAGAUGCCUUUCAGGGAAGAAUAUCUUUAGAAAGCCUGGACACUGCUGACCUAUUUUUCACGAGCCUGAGGGAAUUCAGUUUGCUGCACUCACAGGCAACUGAAAGGGAAAAAAGUGAAUUUCACCAUGAUAUGUUAUUUAUCAACAUAGAAAGUUAGACAUUAAUAUCUUUCCAAAAAGACAGGAAAAAUGUGUGCUCCUAAAACAACCAUCAGGUGCCAUUUUCUCUCUAGGAAACUGAGAAUUCGUCCUUUGUUAUUUAUAAUUCCAGCCUAAAAACCGGUGCAGGGAAGAAGCAGGGAUGACAAAUUGAAUUUGGUGAAUUAUACACUUAUAUUCAGUGUCUGAAUUACAGGUCAUAGCUGGAAAAAUUCUAGUAAUAAUGAGAUUAUUGGAGCUGCUGAGUAGGAUCCAGAAUGAAAUCAGCAUUUUUUUGCCUCUAUCCUUCCUGUGCCUCCUUUUAUCCAAGGGGAUGAGUGCAGGACUGGAGGAACUGGGAAUCCUAAUCUCAGUUUUAAUUCACUGCUGGGUAUUUUUACCCAUCCCACUGCUGAGAAUGAGCUCCCACCUCCCUCCCCGGGGCCAGGAAAACCCAAAUCCACAUCCUGCAACAGCAAAAUUCAACAGCAGGGCUUGAAUUUUGGGGGAAGCAGCUCUUCUUUUCCUCCCUUUUCCUUUUUACAGAUUUCUGCUGGAGGGACCCAAAACUCCAUUACAGAGUGUUUGUGACAGAGCAAAAAUAGAAAAUUUCCUGUGCUGGGCAAGUUCCUUUGCAGUGGGAAUUCACCACGUAAUAACUUCUUUCCUUACUUGUGGAGUAAACGACCCUGCUAAGCAAAUCACCGGGAUUUGCAUUUUUUCCAUCCUCAUGGAGACUCCUGCGAGAUGAGAAUGAUUUUCCUCCCCUUCCUUCCUGUGUCAGCACUCUGGAAAGACAGAAAUAUUUAUUUUGAUUUGGAUUUCCUGGCCAGCUCGGGAUGCUCCCAGCGGCGCUGGGAAGCAGCAGAGAGCAGCAGCACACUGCGAGUGGCAGCAGCUGGCAGCCACCAAGGGAGGCUCUGUCCCCCUCACACACCAAAUCCUGAAUUUCCAGGAGUCCUGGAUUCACCAUCCUCUAAUUAAAGCAUUGCUACA